GAUGAACGCUGGCGGCGUGCCUAAUACAUGCAAGUCGAGCGAACAGACGAGGAGCUUGCUCCUCUGACGUUAGCGGCGGACGGGUGAGUAACACGUGGAUAACCUACCUAUAAGACUGGGAUAACUUCGGGAAACCGGAGCUAAUACCGGAUAAUAUAUUGAACCGCAUGGUUCAAUAGUGAAAGACGGUUUUGCUGUCACUUAUAGAUGGAUCCGCGCCGCAUUAGCUAGUUGGUAAGGUAACGGUUUACCAAGGGGAGGAUGCGUAGCCGACCUGAGAGGGUGAUCGGCCACACUGGAACUGAGACACGGUCCAGACUCCUACGGGAGGCAGCAGUAGGGAAUCUUCCGCAAUGGGCGAAAGCCUGACGGAGCAACGCCGCGUGAGUGAUGAAGGUCUUCGGAUCGUAAAACUCUGUUAUUAGGGAAGAACAAAUGUGUAAGUAACUAUGCACGUCUUGACGGUACCUAAUCAGAAAGCCACGGCUAACUACGUG
rnacentral:rRNA from 1 species